UCUGCCUGGUAGUGUGGGACAACGUCUCGAAAGGGACGCUAAUACCGCAUACGUCCUACGGUAGAAAGCCGGGGACCUUCGUCCCUUGCCUUAUCAGAUGAGCCUAGGUCGGAUUAGCUUGUUGGUGAGGUAAUGGCUCACAAAGGCUGCGAUCCGUAACUGGUCCGAGAGGAUGAUCAGUCACACUGGAACUGAGACACGGUCCAUACGCCUACGGGAGGCCCCAGUGGGGAAUAUUGGACAAUGGGCGAAAGCCUGAUCCGGCCAUGCCGCGGGUGUUAAGCAGGUCCUCGGAUUAUAAA
rnacentral:rRNA from 1 species